rnacentral:lncRNA from 1 species
AAGUCCUGUAAAGUCCAGUAGGAGUCUUGAAGGUGAUCUUUCCAGUCGGCGGGUCAUCGAGAUAAAUAUCGCUCAAUGUGACCCAUAGCAAGAGCUCCUUAGUCUUGACACCGGUGAGUUUCUUGAUCUUUCCUUUUUCAAUAAUAGCAGUGACUUCAGUGGCGUAGGACACAAGUUUCCCAAUCUUCUCAAACUUGUGCUCAACUUUCUUCUUCUGGAUCAGCCAGACAUAGCCAGUCUCUCUGAUGAUACCACAUUCCACAAUGUCUUGCAGAGGCAAGAGCCCAUUUGGCAGGCCCAUUUCUACCAGCAAGGUCUUUGAUUUCUCUUGGCAUAUUUCAUGGCC